UUUCUUGUCUUUGAGCUGUUUUACAACUCUGUAAAUUGUAGAAAGCUGAUAAUAAUGCAAAUGAUUUUGCCCAUAGAAAUGCAAAUUAGUUGUGAUCAGUGAA